UUAUUGUUUCUAUAUCUAUCUUCUUCGCUUGUUUGUGGUAAAUCUCCUUGUGUGGUGUUGAAGGAAUAAAAGAAGUGAACAAGGCUCCAUGGUCAACUCCGUGGACUAAGAAGAUCCAUGACGUCUUCAACUCUUAUCUGAAUUUAGUUAAUCUAUGGUGUAUUAGAAUAAACUCCUAUAUCAUUUUAUAUACUUUUGUGCUCCGUCUCUAAGGGAGCGAGAGAAUUGGCAAGACAUAGUGCAAUCAUUUAUCAUUCUCACUCUGAAAUUUAGUUUAUAUCAGUUGAUCUAUUUUCUCAAGUGGCAUAGAACAUGAUUUAUCCUCUCUAACGAGGAAUACGAAUAGAGUGACAGAAGGAUGGAUUAGAAACCUUCGAUUAAGAAGAAUGCACACUUCCAUAAACUUUUCUUAAAAUUGAAAUCAAAAUUCAAGGUAUUUUCCACCUAUAGUAUGGAAUAGGGGCUCCCCGUUAUGAAAAUUGCAUGAAAUUUGAGUGUUUAUUGAUCUUUUCCUCCAUGAUACUUUUUGUCAUUCAAAAUUUCUUAUUUUUGAUAAAUACUCACUGUUGUUGAGCUACAGAGUCAUUUCUAUUUGUUUAUCUUCCUUUUAGAUCUAAUUUCUUGAUUAUCCAUGUUACAGAUUGAAGAUAUGAACCUCGUACUUCAUUCUUUAACUCAUGUCUUAAAUUAUUUCCUCCUUUACUAAACUUAUUUAACUUUCUCUGCAAUCAACUAUAUCAUUCAGUUUUUACUAUGUCUAUCAUUGACUUAAAGAGUGGCAUCGCUAGCCCCAAAAGUUUCUUCGGCACCCCCAAAAUUUUAUCAUAUAUAAAAUAAAACAAUUUAUAUAAGUAUUGUAUUAAGGUGUUGAUAAUUUUUGGGGCGAAGUCCCCCAAAGGAUGAAAGCUAGGAACGCUCCUAAACUUAGGAUUUAGUGUUUGAUACAAUGUAUUGGGGAAAAUGGAUACUUAAGACUCUUCUUGAAUUUGUUUAUGACUCGAGAGUAAUUAUACACAGAUUUGUCAAAACAUAUUCCAAACACAGAGUGUGCUUUUCUUAAGCUUGUUCUUAAAAAAGAAGAAAAGAAGUUUAGUAUGGUAUUGAAGGGUGAAAGAAGCGAACAAGACUCGAUGGUCAACUCCGUAGAUUAAGAAGAUCCCUGACGUCUUCAACUCUUACCUUAAUUUAGUUGAUCUAUGGUAUAUUAGAAUAAACUCCUAUAUUAUUUUAUAUACUUCGUGUGCACUGCCUCUAAGGGAUGUUACGUUCAAAGAUGAGACCCCGUACUUCAUUCUUUAACACUUGCCUUAUAUUAUCUCCUCCAACACUAGCCUUAUAAUAUCUCCUCCAACACUAAACUCCUUUAACUUUCUUUUCAGUCAACUGUAUCAUUCAGUUUUUUCAUCUCGAUUAUUGACUUUGGAUUUGGUGCUUGAUACAAUAUGGUCGGAAAAUUCUUUGGACUCUUGUUGAAUUUGUUUAUAACUCAAGAAUACUUAUACACAGACUCGUCAAAAGCAUAUUCUAAUACAGAACAAACUUCUUAAACUUGUUCUCUGGAAAAAGUGCUCCAGAGCCUUGGGCUCUUAUUAUAAAUGUAGCCUAAAUGCCCCAAUAUACUUAUUAAUCUUCCUUAGUAUAAAAAUGAACUAUUCCGAAAAUUGUCAAUGAAAUAAAUGGGAUUAAAUGUUUGCUGUGGAAUUGUAUAGAUUUAGAAUUACAUUUCUAAAUUAGAACAG
rnacentral:lncRNA from 1 species